GAAAAAAAAAAAAGGGAACCCAAUUCGUCCCCCCGAGAAAGAAGAAGAAAAAAAAAAAGGGUACAUGAUUUUUUUUUUCAAAAAAUUUUGGCGAGAAAAAAUGUAAGGUACAUGGUUGUGGGAAAAAAAUUUUGGGUGGGAAUUUUUUUUUUUGAACCCCUAAAAAAAAUCCAUGUGGUGCCCAGUCAUUGUCCACAUGGGUGCCACGUCAACAGUUAACGGGAGACUUAACAGUUUGACUAAUGAAUGUAUGAGACUGUCCCAAAAUUUACACUUUAGAUAUGACUCUGGGACGAAAAAAACUUGAUGUACUAAAUGUUGAAAACCACAAAACUUCAUGGUAGUAAACAGAGUUUAACCCUUAUAAUUAAGUUGUCUGCAAAUAAUUUAAGCCCAGUUCAUUAUCUCUGCUUUAACCCACGUUUUCAUUUGGUUGCUUUUGGACUACAAAUCACGUACAUUAAGUAGCUACUUUGGAUUGUAUGAAAUCCACUCAAACCUAGUAUUUUUUCUUUGUACAUUGUCAUUGGUUUGAUUUUUGUGUUUUCUUUUCACGGAUCAAGCACAAGUUCUCUUCUUUUCCCGGUACUCCCCAACAACCCCAAUUUCUCCAAUAACCCUAACUUCCCCAACAGCCCCAAUUUCUCCAACAACCUUAAUUUCCCCACAUCGACAGACACUCCCCAACAACCCUAAUUUCCCCACAUCGACAGACACUCCCCAUCAUAUCCAAAACAAAUUGCAGUGCAUAACUAAAAUUUCUCACAAAUUAAUCAAACCUCAACUAAUAGUCUAAUAGUGUUCAGAAAUGAAAUUACCCAACCAAAUCCAACAUACCCAAAAUAAAUUGCAAAAUCCAUGAAAUUGAAAAGCUACAUAUUAGAACCAAUGAAAUUGAAAAAAAAAAUAUCUACAAAAUGCAUAACGGGGGUGACUGGGUAAGAGACUAACCUUGCAAAGGAGGGAAUUUGUGGGUCGAGACUCUAGACUCGAAACGGCGAGAGGAAGUCAUGGGUCGCGCGCCGAUCACGGGUCACGGGGGUGAGAGACUGAGAGUGAGAUGGCGUCGGCGAGAUGUGAGACAGGUCGCAGGUCGCUGAGAAGGAAGAAGACGAAGCGGAAGAGUGGCGGAGCUGGGAAGGAGAUGGUCCAGAGUGAGAGUACAGAUGAAAGGGAUAAAGGAAGGGAAUGGAUCGAUCAAUCUGUUUAGGGUUUUAGACUGAAAAGAAGUCAGUCUCAGUGAA
rnacentral:lncRNA from 1 species